rnacentral:misc_RNA from 1 species
AAAGAGAAAUAAGAUGUUCUUAAUUUGCUCUGUGACUCCAUAAUGGGAGAGUAAGUAAUAAAACGAAAAUAAAAGAUUUCUUCUGGUUCAAUUAAGUAGAAGACUUAAGUUUCCCUGAUUGUUCUGGAUUUCAAUUGCAAUUUGAUGUUUUUGGUUUGUUUUGUAGGCUUCUGUGGCUGAUCUGCAGGAGGCAAUUUAUAAGCGAACUAAAAAAUUCUACCCUUCAAGACAG